GCGCUGCUGGCGCUGGGCUCGCGCCGCGCUGCCAGGCCUGCGGCUGGGGAGCCAGCAGCCGUGCAAAAUCAGAGUGCAAGACGGAGAUAAUGAGAAUGAUACCAGGAAUUGGAGCCUCAGAUCCGUCUACGCUGGGACUUUCGUGCCAGGCUAAAUAAUCCCAGCUCUCAAUCUCUCCUUGGAUGAUGGAUACUCCAAGCCCUUAACUAUCUUCGUGGCCCUGGGCUGGACCCACUUCAACCUGCCCAGGUCUCUUGGCCUGGGAGCCCAGGGCUGAGCAGAGGGGAAGGACCACCUCCCUUCACCUCGGCCCUACGCACCGAGGAGGAUGUAUCUGCUCAUGGUACCACUCGUAGACCUUCACGCCAGCAGCUGGUUACCAACGCUUUCACACAAGAAUAUCCAUCACACUCCUUUU